AACUUUCAACAACGGAUCUCUUGGUUCCAGCAUCGAUGAAGAACGCAGCGAAAUGCGAUAAUUAAUGUGAAUUGCAGAAUUCCGUGAAUCAUCGAGUUUUUGAACGCACAUUGCACUCCUUGGUAUUCCGAGGAGUACGCCUGUUCGAGCGUCAUUA
rnacentral:rRNA from 1 species